CACGUCAUCACCGAGCGACCAGAGUGUGCUGACAGCAAAGAAGGAGAAAUGGCUGCAAGGUUACUGCUUCGUUCAGCUUUUAGAGCUGGUACAGCCUGUCGGGCUACCCGGCAGGUCCCUGCCGCGGUCCGCUGCAUGUCGACCGGAGGGAUUCCCACCGACGAGGAGCAGGCGACCGGACUGGAGAAGAUCAUCAUGAAGGCCAUGAAGGACGGAUCGGAUCCCUACAACAUCAUGAAGC